ensembl:lncRNA
AGAUUUCUGUCGCUCUCCGUCUUUCUGUCACUCACUGUGCGCACGCACAGCAACGUGUCAACCUCCAGGUCCUCUUGUUCCUACGUCUCAUCUCCCCGCAGCUCGUGGCUAUCUUCACCCUCUACGGCUCCUUCAUGAUGGCCCCCUAAUCUGUGCCAGUGUGGUUCCAUGCCUCAUCCUCGGAUGCUUCGCAUUAGCGUUGCAGGCAAACGCCCCCCAGAGCACGUAAUGACUGUUCGGAUGCAGCCAGUUGACUGGGAGUAGUGGUCCUGGGCCCGAGCCGACGUCGCUCCCCUCCUUGCCCAUAAUAGAUCUGCAGGCUCUCGGGGAGGGGUGAGGGUGGAGUGGGGGGGGGGCACCUGGCCGCCCUCCCUGCCAUCUCUGGCCGGAUCGAUCGCAGAGGCCAUCCCAGCGCGGGAGGGGACCCGGGGUCGUCUUCAAAGGCCUCCUGCCCACUUCCUGCCACCUGGUGUUCCAUUUUGGACAACGGGUGCAUUUCGUCCCCGCUCCCUCCGCCCUCCGUUGCCCUUCUGCAAACGGGUUAAGGACAUGGAGCCGGUUCAGCUCCACCCUGUGAUCUCCUGCAGCCUCCUCCCCAGUCGCCCACACGGGGAGAGAAGAUCUGCUAUGGAAUGAAUAUCUCCAUCUCUCGUUCCCUGUUCCCUGAACAGUAACAAAUGGCAGGACUAUCGAACACACAUUUCAUCUCCACGAGGGCUGUCGGACAAUUAGCUCCAAAAAUACAUAUUAAUCAAUCGAGAUUUUUUUUUUAAUCUGUUCAUCAAGCUCAGCCAUUUUUUUCUCCCUCCAGUACAUUAGCAGAUCUCAGUAUGUCCGCUACUCUUGUGAACGGGGAUGAGAAGGAGACGGAGGGAGAGGAAAUAAAGGUCUGAUGAGUUUGGCAAAGAGAGGAUGGAGGCUGAGACAGAUGGCAUGAAGUCUGCAGCACUCUGGCGUGCCUCGCCUGGUGCUAAAAUCCUCCUCUCUCACAUUCCAACAAAUCCUACCAGGAGGCUGGGGAGUCUGUCACACCACUCCAAGGAUCCGCAUGCCCGUCCCCCCCCUUUCCGUCACCCUGGCCCAACCGAGCCUCUGACCGCUCCGUAUCCCAUUUUAUCCUCGCAUAUGCACACGCGGACAUGUAUAGAGGUCGAUCGUGACGGGACUGGUACGAUAAGAGGCGCCGCCUGACUGCUCUCGCCGAGCAGGAACCGAGGGGACUUCAUUGAGAGAGGUGGCCUUUGCCGUCACUCCGGUUUAAGGAAUCGUACUCAGUAAACACUGGGCCAGAAUCCAGUUGUAUCAGUGGAAGAAGACAUAAGAAGCUUUCUGAUUAGUUUCACCACAGCCUGCAGCCGACUAUGGUCUUGAACAGAAACGCUGUAUCUCAAUCCAAACACGCACCGCUCAGAAGCAUGUUGCAAGACUCCCUGUGGACCUUACAACACAAAAUGGACAGUAAGUGUAACUGUGAUUACACAUUGCGCAAGACCAACAGCUGGAUCACGGGCUCCACGCGGCAGCUGCGUCUCCAAACACGGCACAAUGAUAAAUCCUUUGAAUAUCUGAAGCGUGCUUUCUUUUGCCGGCUCAUAGUGGUUCAUCUAAUAAACACAAUUUAAUUUAUUUUACACUAUGCUCCCUCCCCAUGUCUCUUUCUCGCAGUCUUUCUGCCAGCCUUCUGUUUGUUCUAAUGAAUGACUUCUGAGAUGAGAUGCUGCUGUGAGGAGGUCACGGGAGGCUUCAGAAUCACAUUACUGUUAAUGAUAAUAAAAAGAACAAUCGGCGCGAAACCUCUUGGUUGUCUCUUCCUCUCGCUCCAUAUGGACUGAAUGUAUUAUGC